GGGCUGGCUUUAGCUCAGCAGUUACUUCGACAUUGCUUUCUAUGGUGAUGACAUGGUCAACCUACGACCUCUUCCCAGCUUGCAA
rnacentral:sRNA from 1 species